rnacentral:rRNA from 1 species
CCUACGGGAGGCAGCAGUAGGGAAUCUUUCACAAUGGGCGAAAGCCUGAUGGAGCAACGCCGCGUGCAGGAUGAAGGCCUUCGGGUUGUAAACUGCUUUUAUAAGCGAGAAAUAUGAUGGUAACUUAUGAAUCAGGAUCGGCUAACUACGUGCCAGCAGCCGCGGUCAUACGUAGGAUCCGAGCAUUAUCCGGAGUGACUGGGUGUAAAGAGUUGCGUAGGUGGCAUAAUAAGUAGCUAGUGAAAUCUGGUGGCUCAACCAUUCAGACUAUUAGCUAAACUGUUAAGCUCGAGACCGUUAGGGGUAACUGGAAUUUCUAGUGUAGGAGUGAAAUCCGUAGAUAUUAGAAGGAACACCAAUAGCGUAGGCAGGUUGCUGGGACGGGUCUGACACUAAGGCACGAAAGCGUAGGGAGCAAACGGGAUUAGAUACCCGAGUAGUC